AGGGCGCACAGUCAGUGGGGGUAGACGCGAAACCAAGUGAUCUACACUUGGCCAGGAUGAAGUCCCGGUAACACGGGAUGGAGGUCCGCACCAAUAAGCGUUGAAAAGCUUCUGGAUGAGCCGAGUGUAGGAGUGAAAGGCCAAUCAAACUUGGAGAUAGCUCGUACUCCCCGAAAGGCAUUUAGGUGCCGCGUCGGAUGGUCACCGUGAGAGGUAGAGCGACCGAUAGGACAAGAGGGCUUCACCGCCUAUCGAGUCCUGACGAACUCCGAAUGCUCACGGUCUGCAGUCCGGCAGUAAGGGGGCGGGUGCUAAGGUCCGUCCCCGAGAGGAGAAGAAUCCAGACCGCCGUCUAAGGUCCCGGAGUUCUGCCUGAGUUAGUCUAACGAAGUCUGGUCCCUAUGACAGCUAGGAUGUUGGCUUGGAAGCAGCCAUUCAUUCAAAGAGUGCGUAACAGCUCACUAGUCGAGGGUCCGGGCAUGGAUAAUAAUCGGGUAUAAGGCAGACACCGAAGGCGCGGGAUAGCAAUAUUAAAAGUAUCGGUAGGGGAGCAUACUCACAGCGUCGAAUGGUGUACGUAAGUUAUCCUGGAGCGGUGAGUAAAGCAAAUGUAGGAAUAAGUAACGAUAAGGAGGGUUAGAUUCCCUCCCGCUGUAAGACCAAGGUUUCCCGGGCAAUGCCAAUCAGCCCGGGGUCAGUCGGGUCCUAAGUCUAAGCCGAACGGCGAUGGCGAUGGCAGAGACGGUUAAUAUUCCGUCACUGCCGCAUGGGGCGAUGUGGAGACGGAGCAGUGAAACCACCGCGGGGCGACGGAAGUCCCCGUUGAAGAGUGUAGGUGUUGAGGAUGGCAGGCAAAUCCACCAUCCGAGCUGAACUUGAGAGUACGGAGUCCUCUUCGGAGGAAUCUGAUAGUGUGGGUAAUCAUACUCCCGAGAAAAUCCGCUAAGCUUAACCCAUGCGGCACCCGUACCGCAAACGGACACACGUGGUCGGGUAGAACAUACUAAGGCGUUGAGAGAUUCAUGGUUAAGGAACUAGGCAAAUUGACCCUGUAACUUCGGGAUAAAGGGUCCUCGUGAUGAGCGAGGCGCAGAGAAUAGGUCCAGGCAACUGUUUAACAAAAACACAGGGCUGUGCAAACUCGAAAGAUGACGUAUACAGCCUGACACCUGCCCGGUGCCGGAAGGUUAAGAGGAGAUGUCACUCGCAAGAGGAAGCAUUGAAUUGAAGCCCCGGUAAACGGCGGCCGUAACUAUAACGGUCCUAAGGUAGCGAAAUUCCUUGUCGGGU
rnacentral:rRNA from 1 species